rnacentral:rRNA from 1 species
UACGUAGGCAGCGAGCGUUGUUCGGAGUUACUGGGCGUAAAGGGUGUGUAGGCGGUUUUUUAAGUUUGGUGUGAAAUCUCCCGGCUCAACUGGGAGGGUGCGCCGAAUACUGAGAGGCUAGAGUGUGGGAGAGGAAAGUGGAAUUCCUGGUGUAGCGGUGAAAUGCGUAGAUAUCAGGAGGAACACCGGUGGUGUAAACGGCUUUCUGGACCAUAACUGACGCUGAGGCACGAAAGCGUGGGUAGCAAACAGG